rnacentral:rRNA from 1 species
GACGAACGCUGGCGGCGUGCUUAACACAUGCAAGUCGAGCGGUAAGGCCCUUCGGGUACACGAGCGGCGAACGGGUGAGUAACACGUGGGUGACCUGCCUUUAGCUCUGGGAUAAGCCUGGGAAACUGGGUCUAAUACCGGAUAUGACCUCAUGAUGCAUGUUGUGGGGUGGAAAGCCUUGUGCGGCUGGAGAUGGGCCCGCGGCCUAUCAGCUUGUUGGUGGGGUGANGGCCUACCAAGGCGACGACGGGUAGCCGGCCUGAGAGGGCGACCGGCCACACUGGGACUGAGACACGGCCCAGACUCCUACGGGAGGCAGCAGUGGGGAAUCUUGCGCAAUGGGCGAAAGCCUGACGCAGCGACGCCACGUGAGGAUGACGGCU